CGCUUCCUUUGUGCGGUAUACACUGCCGCCAGCCGGUCAGUUCACAGGCAGCCGUUGCGAAAUGAUCGCGGCGUGGCGGCCGUGAAAAAAAUUGUCUUCGUUAUCCACAGAUCUGGCUGCUGUCACUUUUAACACUGAAAGCAGUCUACAAGUUGCAGUGUUUCACCCGGGUGGAUUGGCGUCUGAAACGUUGGUACUCACUCAGAGUGUAUAUAAAGGAGCUAUUAUAAAGUGUGGAUGUCAAAAGAAGACAGAAUAUCCUCACGAUACUUAUGAAGAAGUAUCAUAAAAAGUGGGUACGAGCCACCUUUUGAUGUUACAUUGGCUCGAGCUCCUACACACUUGGGUGUCCGUCAACUCAGUUACACCACAAUACAAGAAGUGCCAUCUGCAUCCUAUAAAUAAUACUAAUUUUUACUUUAUUUGUAUUUAU